UUUUGUUGGAGAUCCCUGGGUACCUGAGGCCUUUUGAAGUGUUCUGGAAUCACGUGGUUCAUCAGGAAAACUCCCUCAUGCACGUGCUUAUUCCUCCAGCUAAAAAUAUCCCAAAGCACAACCUCUGAAAUGGCACCCUCCUCUGGCUCAGCCGCACCCACAGCCAAACACACUUAUCUGGCGAUCACAGCAGCUCCAGCAGAGCUGAAAACUGCAGGAAACUCCAUAGCAAAACAAAUAGGACGGCUGCCGGACGUGUGCAAAGCUCUGGAGAUUCCAAUUCCUGUCACCCGACCACAGUGUAUUAUCAGAUGUCAAGAACUGGCUACUCCAAAACAGGGAGGCCAGGCUGCAUUCCUGCCCCUCUGCCAGAUGGGAUCAGCGCGUGGUGCCCUCCUCCUCACUAAAUCACAGCAGUGAAAGCCCUCCAAGGGGGGCCAGCCUCAGAGCUAAAAAAUUCCACUUACAACACAUAGUCCAUGGAGGUAACCCCGAGGACACCAGCACUUUCAGCACUCACAUGGUUUCCGUAGGGAUUGCCAUGAAACAGAGUGCUGGACUUGGCUCUCCCUGCUGUAAUGAGGUAAAGCACACAUUAUUCAGAAAUUUAUACAUGCAGAUCAAGGUUUGACAAUUCCCAGUGUUUGGUUAUUGUGUCAACCUACAGUGGAGAUAUGAGACUCAAAGUAUCCUGGAAAAUAAAACAAAUGCUUGGAUCUGUGUAUGAUUUAGGGCCAAAAGUUGCAUGUGACUGCCCACUGUGUGGGCUGUCUGGGGGCAAGCUGCAUGAAGCAAGGCUGCCUGACCUCACAUUAUACUUCUUGCUCUUCUAUACACAGGCAUUUAGAAAAACUUGCACCCAAAUGAAGUUUCCACAAGCCUAAUGGUUUGCCUUCUACUGUCUUAUCAAGAAGAUGAUGUGCCACCAGGAGAUGAAGCUUCUCUCAAAGUCUAUGAGAUGGGUAGUGCUUGUAAUGUAUGUUCAGGCUGGUUUUCAGAAGAGAUCAGGAAUAGUCAUUUUGUCUCCUUGUUCAUGUAAUGUUGCAUUCACACAAGCACAAGUCCACUUGCAAUGCUGAGGCUGUGAAGGAAUCUCAGCAGCACAGGGGGAUGCUGAUGGCUUGGGCUCCUGCCGCAGAGCUUGUAAGAAGCAGCAGUAGAAUUUACUUGAAACUCCUUUCUGCUUAUUUUCCUUUCAAGUAACUUAUGCAAUGCAAGACACAAAAGUGGGAGGGGAAAAAUAUGCAGAUGCUUCUCACCACCCUUGUGCUUGCAGGCUUCCAGUUCCAUCUUCACAUUUUCACUGAGCAAAAAGCAUCACGCCAAGAUAAUGAACUUUAUGGCCUAAUGAAAAAAGGGCCAGCUAUGCGACUGCAUGACAUUUUCUGUCCAAAAUCCUAACAAGAUAUAUGG
ensembl:lncRNA